AACAGGAUUAGAUACCCUGGUAGUCCAUGCCGUAAACGUUGGGAACUAGGUGUGGGUCUCAUUCCACGAGGUCCGUGCCGCAGCUAACGCAUUAAGUUCCCCGCCUGGGGAGUACGGCCGCAAGGCUAAAACUCAAAGGAAUUGACGGGGGCCCGCACAAGCGGCGGAGCAUGCGGAUUAAUUCGAUGCAACGCGAAGAACCUUACCAAGGCUUGACAUACACCGGAAUCGCUCAGAGAUGGGUGCGUCUUCGGACUGGUGUACAGGUGGUGCAUGGUUGUCGUCAGCUCGUGUCGUGAGAUGUUGGGUUAAGUCCCGCAACGAGCGCAACCCUCGUUCUAUGUUGCCAGCACGUGAUGGUGGGGACUCAUAGGAGACUGCCGGGGUCAACUCGGAGGAAGGUGGGGAUGACAUCAAAUCAUCAUGCCCCUUAUGUCUUGGGCUUCACGCAUGCUACAAUGGCCGGUACAAAGGGUUGCGAUACCGUGAGGUGGAGCGAAUCCCAAAAAACCGGUCUCAGUUCGGAUUGGGGUCUGCAACUCGACCCCAUGAAGUCGGAGUCGCUAGUAAUCGCAGAUCAGCAACGCUGCGGUGAAUACGUUCCCGGGCCUUGUACACACCGCCCGUCACACCACGAAAGUCUACUGUACCAGAAGUCGCUAGGCUAACCCCUUACGGGGAGGCAGGCGCCUAAGGUACGGUCGAUGAUUGGGGUGAAGUCGUAACAAGGUAACC
rnacentral:rRNA from 1 species